UACGUAGGAGGCGAGCGUUGUCCGGAUUUACUGGGCGUAAGGCGCGCGCAGGCGGCACUUCAAGUAAGGUGUGAAAUCUCCCUGCUCAACGGGGAGGGUGCACUUUAGACUGAGGAGCUAGAGGACGGUAGAGGGGGGUGGAAUUGCUGGUGUAGCGGUGAAAUGCGUAGAGAUCAGCAGGAACACCCGUGGCGAAGGCGGCCCCCUGGGCCGUACCUGACGCUGAGGCGCGAAGGCUAGGGGAGCGAACGGG
rnacentral:rRNA from 1 species